rnacentral:rRNA from 1 species
GCAAGUCGAACGAAGUCCAGCGGAGCUUGCUCUGCGAAUACUUAGUGGCGAACGGGUGCGUAACACGCGAGAAAUCUGCCCCGAACUUGGGAAUAACAGUUGGAAACGACUGCUAAUACCGAAUACCUUCACGACGUCGCAUGGCGAUGUGAAGAAAGCUUUAUGCGGUUUGCGAGGCUCUCGCGGCCUAUCAGCUUGUUGGUGAGGUAACGGCUCACCAAGGCAUCGACGGGUAGCUGGUCUGAGAGGAUGAUC